GACGAACGCUGGCGGCGUGCUUAACACAUGCAAGUCGAGCGGUAAGGCCCUCGGGUACGACGAGCGGCGAACGGGUGAGUAACACGUGGGUGACCUGCCUCUAGCUCUGGGAUAAGCCUGGGAAACUGGGUCUAAUACCGGAUAUGACUCCACGGCGCAUGUUGUGGGGUGGAAAGCCUUGUGUGGCUAGAGAUGGGCCCGCGGCCUAUCAGCUUGUUGGUGGGGUGAUGGCCACCAAGGCGACGACGGUAGCCGGCCCUGAGAGGGCGACCGGCCACACUGGGAC
rnacentral:rRNA from 1 species